rnacentral:rRNA from 1 species
AACGAACGCUGGCGGCAUGCCUAACACAUGCAAGUCGAACGGGAUCCAGGCUUCGGCCUGGUGAGAGUGGCGGACGGGUGAGUAACGCGUGGGAACCUGCCCAAUGGUCUGGGAUAACCGCGGGAAACUGCGGCUAAUACCGGAUAAGCCCGAGAGGGGAAAGAUUUAUCGCCGAUGGAGGGGCCCGCGUCAGAUUAGGUAGUUGGUGGGGUAAUGGCCUACCAAGCCUACGAUCUGUAGCNGGUCUGAGAGGAUGAUCAGCCACACUGGGACUGAGAUACGGCCCAGACUCCUACGGGAGGCAGCAGUGGGGAAUAUUGGACAAUGGGGGCAACCCUGAUCCAGCAAUGCCGCGUGAGUGAUGAAGGCCUUAGGGUUGUAAAGCUCUUUUGCCAGGGACGAUGAUGACGGUACCUGGAGAAUAAGCCCCGGCUAACUUCGUGCCAGCCGCCGCCGU